CCCUAGUCCUGGCAGUGAGAAAUGGACCUCUGCAAGAAGAUUGACUCAAAGUUGUUCCUGAUCAUGGACUUCAAAUGGGCCUGGGUUUGAAGCAGAUGAUCUCCAGAGGCCUCUUCCAACUCUCACCAUUCUGUGAAUCCAUGACUGUGUUCUGCUUGGAGGUCAGACACCCACCUGCCUUUCAAGAUCUUCUUGCCUGAGGACUCUGUUGCUGGAGGAUGCAGCAUUAGGGCAGCAGAACUUCUGUGUCGUCCUCUCUAGUGGCAGAAAGAAUCUGGCCAGAAUGUUUUGAGUUGGAAAGGCCCUUUAUAGGUCAUCUAGUCCGACAUCUCUCCAGUCAGCAGGGACUAGAGAAGGCUGCUCAGAGCUCCAAACAACCAGACCUGGAAGGCUUCCAGAGAUGGGACAUCUACCACUUCCCUGGGCAACUUGGGUUGCAGUUUCACCACCCUCAGCAUAAAAAAUUUCUU